CAAAAAUUAAGAAAUUGGCCAACUUAAUCAUGAAAACAGGUUUGCCCUCCAAUCAGUGGUCUGCCUUCAUUUUCCAGAUUGAUGAAGUCGGCCUCAGAGAAGGGGCCUUUCGUCAGGAGCUUCUUCUUGCCGACCGCCAUGGUGCUACUCAGAGCCAAAACGCCAGCAUGAUGAUUUUAAGGACACGGGGCCUGUUGUAGCAGAACUAACUGUAACUUCUUCUAACGUUUGAUGAAGAGAUACAGAGGCUAUGUGGAUAAGUUCUUCAACCUCCUGCAAGCCUCCACAUUUUCAGCUGUUGAAAACUUGCCGAGCCCUGUGGUGUGGGGCUUUUUAUGGACACUUCAUUGUACAGACAUGAUUGAAGCACAGAUAAUCAUAUGGAAAUGCGGUUGGACAAAAAUGAUAACAGACUGAGCGGAGAAAUGUGGCAAAUCCCAUCUUCUCAGAUCUUGGGCUUCCUGUGCAGCAUUCUUUCCUCCCAGGGAAGGAGUAGGACCCCUCUGGAAUGAGAGUCUUCAUUUCUUUAUGACCAGCUCUCUGGCCUGCCUUGAGGAGCUUCCCAAGAACAAAAGGCCAAAUAGUUACAAGCCAGAGCUGUGAAUGAAAAACGAGUAUGUCAAUAUAUCAUACUAUCACAAUUCCUACACCUCAAGAGAUUACGUAUAAUGAGGUUGGACUUUAAUUAGUUCAAAGAAAAUCAAACAGAUUAAAGAGAAAGAUCCUUUUGACGACUGUACUCUUUCCCCCCACCCCCACUGCCCCUGGGACAUUUUUCUACUUUUGUGCCUGGAGGCAGCCAUUAUUUUGAGAUUGGUACACAGCCUUCCAGUUCAUUUUUCAAAAGCCGUUCCUCUGUCUCUACAUACAUGUGUGUACAUUUGUGUACAUGCAUAUGUACAUGCACACAUUUUAGGAGGUUUUAAUUACGUCCUGUGGAGUUUAACAAUAAUUGCAACAUGAUGCCUGCAACAUAAAUCCCUUUGUGUUUUAUUAAA